rnacentral:rRNA from 1 species
GUGGGGAAUCUUCCGCAAUGGGCGAAAGCCUGACGGAGCAAUGCCGCGUGAGUGAAGAAGGCCUUCGGGUUGUAAAGCUCUAUCCUUGUCCAAGAGAGCAGAGUAUAGUAACUGAUAGUCUGAGGACGGUAGACAAGAAGGAAGCCCCGGCUAACUAUGUGCCAGCAGCCGCGGUAAAACAUAGGGGGCAAGCGUUGUCCGGAAUCACUGGGCGUAAAGGGCGCGUAGGCGGUCUGUUAAGUCGGAUGUGAAAUGUAAGGGCUCAACCCUUAACGUGCAUCUGAUACUGGCAGACUUGAGUGCGGAAGAGGCAAGUGGAAUUCCUAGUGUAGCGGUGAAAUGCGUAGAUAUUAGGAGGAACACCAGUGGCGAAGGCGACUUGCUGGGCCGUAACUGACGCUGAGGCGCGAAAGCGUGGGGAGCAAACAGGAUUAGAAACCCUAGUAGUCC